rnacentral:rRNA from 1 species
AGAGUUUGAUUCUGGCUCAGGACGAACGCUGGCGGCGUGCCUAACACAUGCAAGUCGAGCGGAGACAGUGAGUAGCUUGCUAUGAGCUGUUUUAGCGGCGGACGGGUGAGUAACGCGUGAGCAACCUUUCCCAGACAGGGGAAUAACACACCGAAAGGUGUACUAAUACCGCAUAAGACCACGGUUUCACAUGGAACUGGGGUAAAAGAUUUAUCGGUUUGGGGUGGGCUCGCGUCCGAUUAGGUAGUUGGUGAGGUAACGGCCCACCAAGCCGACGAUCGGUAGCCGACCUGAGAGGGUGAUCGGCCACAUUGGGACUGAGACACGGCCCAAACUCCUACGGGAGGCAGCAGUGGGGAAUAUUGGGCAAUGGGGGGAACCCUGACCCAGCAACGCCGCGUGGAGGAAGAAGGUUUUCGGAUCGUAAACUCCUGUCCUUGGAGACGAGUAGAAGACGGUAUCCAAGGAGGAAGCCCCGGCUAACUACGUGCCAGCAGCCGCGGUAAUACGUAGGGGGCAAGCGUUGUCCGGAAUAAUUGGGCGUAAAGGGCGCGUAGGCGGCUCGGUAAGUCUGGAGUGAAAGUCCUGCUUUUAAGGUGGGAAUUGCUUUGGAUACUGUCGGGCUUGAGUGCAGGAGAGGUUAGUGGAAUUCCCAGUGUAGCGGUGAAAUGCGUAGAGAUUGGGAGGAACACCAGUGGCGAAGGCGACUAACUGGACUGUAACUGACGCUGAGGCGCGAAAGUGUGGGGAGCAAACAGGAUUAGAUACCCUGGUAGUCCACACUGUAAACGAUGAAUGCUA